rnacentral:rRNA from 1 species
UACGUAGGGUCCGAGCGUUGUCCGGAAUUACUGGGCGUAAAGAGCUCGUAGGUGGUUUGUCGCGUUGUUCGUGAAAACUCACAGCUCAACUGUGGGCGUGCGGGCGAUACGGGCAGACUAGAGUACUGCAGGGGAGACUGGAAUUCCUGGUGUAGCGGUGGAAUGCGCAGAUAUCAGGAGGAACACCGGUGGCGAAGGCGGGUCUCUGGGCAAGUAACUGACGCUGGAGGAGCGAAAAGCCGUGGGGAGCGAACAGG